rnacentral:rRNA from 1 species
GACGAACGCUGGCGGCGUGCUUAACACAUGCAAGUCGAACGGAAAGGCCUGCUUUCCCUUGUGGAUUGCGGGUACUCGAGUGGCGAACGGGUGAGUAACACGUGAGUUAUCUGCCCCCAACUUGGGUAUAAGCCUGGGAAACUGGGUCUAAUUCCCGAUAGGACUGCAGGGUGGUGCCUGUGGUGGAAAACGAUUUUCUAGUGGUUGGGGAUGAGCUCGCGGCUCAUCAGCUUGUUGGGGGGGUAAUGGCCUACCACGGCGGCGACGGGUAGCCGGCCUGGGGUGGUCGACAGCAAUAUGGGGACGGAGAGACGGCGCAGACUCCGACGGGAGGCAGGGGGGGGUAAUAUGGAACGAUGGGCGGAAGCCUGAAGCGGCGACGCCGCGGGGAGGGUGACCGCCUGCGGGUGGUAAACUCCUGUCGACGGCGAGGGAGCCACCUGGUUGGGAGGGUGUUGACGGUAGUGGUAGAAGAAGCACCGGCUAACUACGUG